ensembl:lncRNA
CUGUGCCAUCACUUAGGGUCUGACCUGAAGCUUGUUGAGCUGAAGAACAUUUCUAGCAGUCCAGCAAGGCUUUAUUGAGAUUUAGCACUCAGUCUCUGAGGGAACAGUAUAUUUGUUUUCUUCAUCGUGUGAAUGUGACACAUGGGAUAAGGUUCUUAUUUUAGAUGAAGGACAAGUACAUGGGUUUUCUAUUUACCUGAUGGCACGCACAGUUAGCUCUGAGGGUGCUGUACAUUAUCUUCCAUUCCCCAUCCUCACCCAGUAAUCUGUUGGUGCCUCUGCACCUGUUCCAGCAGUGAGCAGGAAGAGGGAGCAAGCCCUGUGCAUUGCUGGGGUUUUGCUAACAGGACAGGAAGAUUAAUCUAACUUCUGGGACACAGAGACAAGAGCUAGAUGUUAUUCCUAGCAGCCAAGGAUGAAAUAUCAGGAGCUGUCAACAGAUGAACAGAGAUUGAAGAGAUGAUGGAAGACCUGUGGUCAGAUAUGGGCUUUUAAUGAUGGGCAGCCUAGGCAGAACGAUAUGAACUGGUUCUGCACUUCUGAGAUGGCUGGAAAGCUGCCAGAGACCUUGGAGACGUUAGGACACCGCUGGAAUGAAUUUGCGUGCAUACUUUGCUUUGUCAAACACAAGGAUGUAAAAAUACUGUAUUCCACCUGAAAGCUGCCUUGUUGCAGAGUCACAUCCAGCAUCAUUGCAAGCAUCUUUAGAUUGUGAAGAAGUGAAGCCUGUAGCAAGGAAGCAAUUGUUAAGGGAGUUAACUGAUGUUAUUGAAUAGAAUCUGCAUUUGUGGAACAGAAUUAGGAGGCGCUUUCUUUACAUAAAAUAAGAGGAGCCAUUCACAGGAGACUGCAUACAGAGCACAAGCAAGCUAGGUUGGGAGUUCAUGGUAAUACUAAAUACCUUGCAGUGCAUGAGCUAUUUUUCACCAGGGAGACCAGAAGCCCUGAUCAGUAUUAAGAGCCUGUUGUCCUAUCGCAAAUACAGAGCAAACACAGAUAACAGGUAGCCAGCCCUGGAAAAUGUUUGUUUAUUCUGAUACAAUGGCAGAUUUACGCAUAAUUUGUGGACCUGCACUUAAUCAAAUCACAUGAACAUGUAGGCAAACACGUGCGGCCAUGCUUGUGUCUUUCAUCAAAUGUGAUUGAUAAAGAAAAGAAUUAGUGUAAGGAGUUGCAUUGUUGGAGGGCAUCGUUGUAAGCCAAACCUCUAUCGUCACAGCGAGCGGAGUUCCAGUAAUUGCAUUUUAAGGAGUAAUAAUUGACAUUUCAGGUACAAGAAGAGAAGAGCCUGGCUCAAUUGUAGAGUAUAUACCUCUCGAGAAUGACACAGGAAUGUCAUGAAUACGAAGACAGCAAAUUUUUGGCAUCUUUUACCUUUCAGGGGACAGCAGAUCAGCACACAGCCUUCACAAUGUUCUCUGUCUGUGAUGAUUUCGUUCUUUUAUUUACAGUCUUCCAUGGUGAUGGAGCCCACAAACUAUGUUCCACAAACUCCGUUCCACAUUCUUUGACUCCACCUAUGGGCAGCGUGGAUGGUGAAUGCUGGCUGAUGGCACCCUCACCCAAUUGCAGGAAGCCUGCUGCUCAGCAGCUUGAGGUGAAGCACAGAUCCUCCUUCAUGGCAUGGCACAGGCUGCAUGGAAAGCAAGGGAGGACACAAGCACUUCAUCCAGCGCCUGGCAGGAUUGUUCAGCCUUCCCCACUGUCCUGUUAACAAGUCUGUUCCCAGAGUAGAGAACCUGAAUGAGACCCAGGGCAGCUUUUGACAUAGUCAUGCUUUAUGCUCUGCCAUAUCUCUGCUGGCAAGGCACCCAGCAGCUCAGCUUGACAGCGAGAGUCUCACUGCUGUGCUGGAGAAAGCCAGAGUUGUCACAGAAGUUGAUAUAUUUGGGUUUCCUUGGUCAGUGACAGGCAAGUGCUUGACAAUGUGCUGUGCCUGCUCUAGUGCUCUGCUCCUUGCUGCCUGGGCUCUCAGUGGAGCAGCCAAACCCACAGGAGCUCACAUCUUGCAUGGGAUUAUGAGCUCCCAAUAUAAACCAGGAGGAUACCAUUGCUGGGCAGACAGGAACAGACAAAAGCAUUCAUUUAAUCUGUGCCAUCUACAAGUCUAGAACCAGAACGAGGUUCAAAGCCUUUGGCAGCCUGAGAUUGUUGGCAAUAGUGAGGCUAGAAAAGCCCUAGCUUAACCUGGAAAGCUGUGCUAAACACCUCACAAGAAAAUAUCUGUCUCUGAAUCAGAGCCUAAUUCUUGCUGUUGUUCUCUCACAGACACUGAGGAUCUCAGUGAUGCUCUGGACUUCCACGCUUGACAAUUUACAUGUAGGAUGAAAUUUUCAGGAGCAUCCAUUAUAGAUAUACAGUAGGAAAUUAAACAUAUAUUCAGGCAUUGAGAUCCACUGGCACACUCACACUCCCAAAAUUCAGCCUCCAGAAUAGGAAGACCAUAUCCAGAGUGCCUACUGGCAGCAGCCUCUGUUCUGUGCUAACAACUACUCUGCUCUGGGAGCAGUCCUGAUAAGCAUUAUGGAUCUAUGCAUGUUGCAACCAUGCCAGGACUCUUCUAACAGAUUGAGAGUACGGAUUAUUGAUCCCCAGCAUCUGCCUGUGUUGUUUGAUUUAUUGGUAGAGAAGUGUAUGUGAAUUCUGAGCCUGAAUCCAGAUUAAAAACCAGAAUUAUGUCAAUCUGUAUCCACAGUGGUCCCAGAAGAGCUGGAGGAACACUCAGUGCAGCAGUCCUGACAUGAAUUGUCCAAAACGGCUAACUUGCCUGAGUAUAAUGACUUCAGCUAGAGUUGUAUUUAUCAGCCAGCUCCAGCCUUCAAGGACUUGGUUCUAAAAGAACCCUGAAUUGAUUAGUUACCCACCUAAACAGGUUUUACAUUCCAGAUGAGCUCCUUUAUUCAAAUGACAGAGGGCCAUUAUGUUGCUAGAAUGAUUACCAUGUCCUCCAUAUAUGGCUCCAAGUGAAUCAGUGAUCACUUUUAUAAGAAAAUUUGCUCCUACAAACUCCUCUGAUUUAAUGCUGCGGUCAUGGAUCCAGAUUGAGUUACAUUCCUACGCCUACCUGAAGAUAAGUGGACUUCCAGCCUCACCACCAGACACGUUCAUAUUUCAGGUCCCCGCCAUGAUGGCUCUGAGCGUUGUGGUGUGGCUACAGGAGAUCAGUACUGCGCAAAUGAGCAGCAAGGCUGAAGAUCUGGAUAAAAUUUUACUUCAAGCCUUAUUUUAUUACUCCACCAACAGCCUCCUCUUUAACUUUGUUCUCCCUGUGGGUAAAGUUUGAAAUGUCCCACUGAAUGGUGGAGUCCAACUACAGCAAUUGUACAAUGAUGGCAUUCUGUAGCAAGUAUGUCAAAGGGGAAGCUUUCAGUGCGUUUACUGAGCUUUUCAUGAUACAGGUAUCUGAUGCAUCCAAAAAUUGUUUUAGUUCUUCGUCCUUCUUCAAGAUAAUCUUACUGAACAUUAAAGAAAACUGUGUGAUGUUUAUUUUUUUGUCAAAUUUCUGUGGCAAUACUGCAUGCUACUGCAGCAGGCAGCGAGGGGAAUCUUAAAAUGUUUUGCCAGUCCAGUGCCCAAAAUCUCUCUAAAUCCCAGAGGUAUUGCAAGCUUUUGGCAGAGUAGAGGCUGGCAUGAAAAGCCACGGACAUUCCACCUACAGUAACAGAGCUCUGGUAAAGGAAUCUGUAGGCUGGAAACUGAACGCAUGGAGGAGCAGAUAUGGGUCACCAUAUGGGCCCUCAGUCAUUGGCUCCAUCAUCACUGUUUGUAUCAAGAGCCAGAGCCAAGCUCUCCAUAACGUGUCUCCUUCUCCACAUCCACCUUUGCUAGCUCCUCUAUGUUUCUCUUCCUACAGAGGGAACAGUGCAUUUCUGCUUAUCAUUGUGGCACUGAGGGAUGUGGUUUAGAGAGCAUAGUGAUCGUGGUUGGAUUAGAGGAUUUUAGUGGUCUUUUCCAACCUUAAUGAUUCUAUGAUUUUAUGAUCUCUUCCAUAGGGCAGCAGAACUCAGUUUUCCUGCUCUUGAAAAGUUGGCCCUGGCCAAAAGUCUGGCUUGCAUUUACACUGCAACCCCGUUUUGUUUGCUUGGCUUUCACGCUCCUAUGACCUGCCCACAACAACAGAGCAGUUACCAGCCUCCUGGUUAUUAGGAACCAUAUUGUAGAGCUGUAUCCACAUUUUUCAAAGUUUUAUCACUUGUGGAAUUCUUCCAAAGAGAUAUGGAAAAAAAAAAACCACCACCAACGACAGCAACAAACCCAAACCCACAAGCCACAUGACAGGACCAUGCAUCAGUAGUUCUAACCUUCGUCAGCUUGUUGUUCAGUUUAUGAUUAUUCUGUGUACAGGAUAGAUUAUAAAAUGUUCCCUUGACAUCAUCUCAAUGACAAUCUGGUUUGAAGUAAGGGAAGAUUUUAAUGGAAAAAUAUCCAAACACAUCUUGAAAACAUUUUUGACUCUUGUUGUCCCAAAUCCCUCAUUUCUGUCCUGUAGGGUAGAAAAUGUUGCUAUUUCCAGUUUCUGGAUACCAUAAUCUGGCUGAUUUAUUUUUAUAACCAAAAUAAUUGUAUGUCUGAUUUGCCAAGAAUUUAAAAAAUUCCAGGCAGCUCUCAGUAUUUAUGUCACCAUAGCACCAGUUGUCCUGGCAGGGGUUGGGGAUUUUUACAGUGCAUGCUGUACAAGCAGAGCCUUCAAAAAGAAUCUGCGUUAGAGCUUGAUUCUUUACUUCUGCAACCCAUUUCUGCCAUGUUUCAUUCACUGUGAGAAAAUGUGAGGUACUGAGAUGGAUAUCACCACUCAACUAGUGAACACUAGUAGUAGAUCGCCAGCUGAAAGUAUAUCUUGUCCUGUUGCAGUAAGGUGAAGCUAACAGGAUCUUUCUGCUGGGAUUAUAUGUGGAGAUAUAAUAUGAUAGCUGCUGAUGUAAAAACACAUCCUUUCUCAAGUACAAAUGUAGAAGCCAGGUGAUUCCUUAGGAGAAGAACCACUGUCAUGCAAAGCUGAACCAGUUGGUGGACGCUUAGGUAAUAAAUGAUGACAACAUCUAGACAGGAGAUGAAAUGUUUUGUGGAGGGAGUUCAGUGUCAGAUUCAGAGCAAGCUUGGGAACUCUCUCCACUUCUCCAGAUCUCCCACAGGCUUCACUUUGAAAAAAAGAAAUAUGCUACAAAUGUGGUACUUCAGCACCUCCGUAUCAGUGCAGGGGGAACCUACCAAAAGGGCAUGCUGAUACCCCUUUUUGUCCCAGCUGGACUUCUCACCAUCAGUCAGUGAAGUGACACAAAUGAAUCCCCCGAUGCCCAAAGAGUGUGCAAAAUGCCAUCAUAGUGCUGUAUUUUACCCGAUUGCUGUGGUUUGCUUCUCUCCCUUCAAGUCUUCUUAAAGACCCCAACCAGCACAUGAAAGGCAAAAUACCAUCCCCUUUUCUUGCUUUUCCCUAGUGCCAUGGCCUAAUUUCUAACAUAACAUUUUUGGCAAGUUCCAGUGCAAGGCUCCUUGUUUGGUAUUACUGAAAUCUUUCCAUUUGGAUUAAUUUGGUUGGUGUUUAACUUUGCCUUAUAUGCUUAAGUAACAGGCUGAGCAGAAUGCUUGUUACCUUGGGCAACCCAAAACUGACUGCUGAACUGCCAGUCAUUAACCAUUUACCUGGGACUUAACAACACUAUUUACUAAUCAAUAGUGAGAACCAUGGUAACCUUGGCUCUACAGAGCCUGAUAUCUUAUGGGAACCACGCUAAAGAAACACCAAUUCCUAGUCUUUAAUACCUGGUUCUUUUCUGCAAGGCUUCAGAGAAAGUUGGGAUGUGGCAGAAGAGGCAUGGUAUGGAUGGAGCAGAAGAAUGACGCAAGUUUAGGAGGAGGUGUCUGAUGAGGCAGAAAGAAACCUAAUCUUUAAAUGCAGAUGAACUCCCCCAGAGACAGCUGAAACGGAGGGGAGAUCAGUGGGGAUGCUGUAUCACCUGACACAUCUGCUGCUGAUACGCCUGCCAGGAAAUGGGGAGUUGUGAGCAAGGUUUGAACCCUUAGGCUUUACUAAGGAGUAGCAAAUACAGCACAGAAUGAGGUCCAACAAGGUGGGAGGCAGAUGUGGUGAGCCUCUGGAAACUGCUGCCUCCAUCUAUGGCUGGGCUUGAAUGGAGUCAAAACAUGUCUGUGAAUAAUAGCAUACCGUUACAAGUCCAAGUCUUACAGAGACACAGAUCAGGUUUACUUUCCUGAACAAAAAUGGGUUUGGACAUCAUAAUGAGCUACAUAUCACCUAGUCGGGUUUAUUCACCCCCUACAAUGGCUCAUCUUACCCUGAAGAUAAAGGAACUGCUGGCUGACCUCGUGCUUCAGAGUUCAUGGGCAGGGAGCCACUUUUGGAGGAUGGUUGACCUACACCUUGGAGCUACAGCAUCUGUUAGCAUCAGGCAAAAUACAACUAUUCAGGGAAGUCACAGCCAUUCUGGUUUUACCAUCCUGAAGAAAUCAGGUGGAAAUAACCCAGUGUUACAAGGAUGAAACAGUUGCUGUGUGAGAUGCUCUGAGGUUCUCGGUACAUCACUGAAGGAAUGAGUGACCUUUUGGUGAAGGUAUGAGAUCAGAAGCCAGGAGCUCCAUGUCCUGCAUCUCAUGAUGCAGAAUGGGACGUGUAAGGGCUUGAGUGAUUGUUACAUUAGGUGUCAUAAUAUCUAAUGCAACAAAUAUUUGUACCCUUCUACUGAGCAGUUAUAUUGACCCCUUUCCUGACUCUUUUCUACUGUGAGUAUUAUUGGUUUGUCCCAGAAGGAUGUUCUUGCUAGCUCACGAUUGCCAAUCUUCACUUUCAGGCACUGUAAUACUUACAUAAAUGUAAC